GAGUUUGAUCAUGGCUCAGGCCUUUNNGCUGGCGGUCUGCUUAACACAUGCAAGUCGAACGANCUCUUCGGAGUGAGUGGCGGACGGGUGAGUAACGCGUGAGAAUCUGCCUGUGGGUCGGGGACAACCACUGGAAACGGUGGCUAAUACCGGAUGAGCCGAAAGGUAAAAGAUUUAUUGCCCACAGAUGAGCUCGCGUCUGAUUAGCUAGUUGGUAAGGUAAAAGCGUACCAAGGCGACGAUCAGUAGCUGGUCUGAGAGGAUGAGCAGCCACACUGGGACUGAGACACGGCCCAGACUCCUACGGGAGGCAGCAGUGGGGAAUUUUCCGCAAUGGGCGAAAGCCUGACGGAGCAAGACCGCGUGGGGGAGGAAGGUUUUUGGAUCGUAAACCCCUUUUGUCAAGGAAGAAGCUCUGACGGUACUUGACGAAUAAGCCUCGGCUAACUCCGUGCCAGCAGCCGCGGUAAUACGGAGGAGGCAAGCGUUAUCCGGAAUGAUUGGGCGUAAAGCGUCUGUAGGUGGCCAGCUAAGUCUGCUGUUAAAGAUCACAGCUCAACUGUGGGAAGGCAGUGGAAACUGGCAAGCUAGAGGUUGGUAGGGGUAAAGGAAAUCCCCGGUGUAGCGGUGAAAUGCGUAGAUAUCGGGAAGAACACCGGUGGCGAAAGCGCUUUACUGGGCCAGACCUGACACUGAAGGACGAAAGCUAGGGGAGCGAAAGGGAUUAGAUACCCCUGUAGUCCUAGCUGUAAACGAUGGAGACUAGGUGUAGCACGUAUCGACCCGUGCUGUAUCGUAGCCAACGCGUUAAGUCUCCCGCCUGGGGAGUACGCACGCAAGUGUGAAACUCAAAGGAAUUGACGGGGGCCCCGCACAAGCGGUGGAGUAUGUGGNUUNAAUUCGAUGCAACGCGAAGAACCUUUCCNAGGGCUUGACAUGUCNCGAAUCUUGAUGAA
rnacentral:rRNA from 1 species